UACGUAGGGCGCGAGCGUUGUCCGGAUUUAUUGGGCGUAAAGAGCUCGUAGGCGGCUCGUUGCGUCGGCUGUGAAAACCCGCAGCUCAACUGUGGGCUUGCAGCUGAUACGGGCGGGCUGGGAUUCGGUAGGGGAGACUGGAAUUCCUGGUGUAGCGGUGAAAUGCGCAGAUAUCAGGGGGAACACCGGUGGCGAAGGCGGGUCUCUGGGCCGAUAUCGACGCUGAGGAGCGAAAGCGUGGGGAGCGAACAGG
rnacentral:rRNA from 1 species